GAUGAACGCUGGCGGCGUGCCUAAUACAUGCAAGUCGAGCGAACAGACGAGGAGCUUGCUCCUCUGACGUUAGCGGCGGACGGGUGAGUAACACGUGGAUAACCUACCUAUAAGACUGGGAUAACUUCGGGAAACCGGAGCUAAUACCGGAUAAUAUAUUGAACCGCAUGGUUCAAUAGUGAAAGACGGUUUUGCUGUCACUUAUAGAUGGAUCCGCGCCGCAUUAGCUAGUUGGUAAGGUAACGGCUUACCUAGGCAACGAUGCGUAGCCGACCUGAGAGGGUGAUCGGCCACACUGGAACUGAGACACGGUCCAGACUCCUACGGGAGGCAGCAGUAGGGAAUCUUCCGCAAUGGGCGAAAGCCUGACGGAGCAACGCCGCGUGAGUGAUGAAGGUCUUCGGAUCGUAAAACUCUGUUAUUAGGGAAGAACAAAUGUGUAAGUAACUAUGCACGUCUUGACGGUACCUAACCAGAAAGCCACGGCUAACUACGUG
rnacentral:rRNA from 1 species